rnacentral:lncRNA from 1 species
GCCAGUUUUUUUAAUCUUCAGGGGAUAAAAAGGGGGAGGGUUUUGAAAUGAAUUUGAUUCAUUAACAGCUUCAGAUGUAGUGUAUAAACAGGCAACAACAUUUCAAUUGAAUUUUAUUGCUUUAAAACAUCUAGAACAAUUGAUUCUUUGUGGAUUUUUUUUAUACUUUUAGGGGAUUGAAUGAUUAAAUAUCAAACUGGAGCUGCCAGUUUUGAUAGUAAAACAGAUUCCGUGGAGAUUUUAGUUACAUUUAUUCAGCGAUUCUACUUGGAAGAACAGAGACAACAAAAUAUUACAGAAAGAAGCAGAAACUUUACAUGUAUCCUUUUAUAUUAUUAUAUCUGACGCAUAGUUACUUUAGUUUUAAUAUUGGGUGGGUACAGGUGCAGAUCCAGCCAUUUUAAAAAAGGUGUGGGGUUCAAACUAUGUACUAUAAACCCUUUCAUAUGCAUUGAUCUUGCUAAAAAAGGGUGGGUUCCAAUCCCCCCUAGAAUCCUCUCCUUGACAGUAAAUUACCCCUGUGAGAUGAUAAUGAAUAAUUCAUGAAUAUGCAUGAACAUUUCAUGAACUGUUCAUGAACAGA